rnacentral:rRNA from 1 species
GGUGUGCGGCGCAGCCUGAUCCAGCCAUGCCGCGUGCGUGGAUAGAAGGCCUUCGGGUUGUAAACCGCUUUUGUCAGGGAAGAAAAGGUUCUGGCUAAUACCUGGGACUCCUGACGGUUCCUGAACAAUAACCACCGGCUAACUACGUGCCCUCACCCGCGGUAAUACCUAUGGUGCAAGCGUUAAUCGAAAUUACUGGGCGUAAAGCGUGCGCAAGCCGGUAUGCAAGAUCCAGGUGAAAUCCCCGGGCUCAACCUGGGAACUGCCUUUGAGACUGCAUGGCUUGAGUACGGUAGAGGGGGAUGGAAUUCCGCGUGUAACAAUGAAAUGCGUAAAUAUGCGGAGGAACACCGAUGGCGAAGGCGAUCCCCUGGACCUGUACUGACGCUCAUGCUUAAAAGCGUGGGGAGCAAACAGGAUUAAAUACCCUGGUAGUCCACGCCCUAAACGAUGUCAACUGGUUGUUGGGAGGGUUUCUUCUCUUUAACGUGGCUAACGCGUGAAGUUGACCGCCUGGGGAGUACAAUCCGCAGGGUUGAAACUCAAUGAAUUUUGACGGCGG